rnacentral:rRNA from 1 species
AGUGAACGCUGGCGGUAUGCCUAAUACAUGCAAGUCGAACGGCAGCACAGUAAGAUCUCUCUCUUACGGUUGGCGAGGGGCGGACGGGUGACGAAUAGAUCGCAAACUUCUUUGUCUGGGGUGAUAACGGGGGGCAAUAGACACUAAUACCGCAUACUACGUACGGGUGGAAUCAGGGGAGCUUGGCACUUUUGGCGACUCAUUUAGCCGAAGUCGGAUUAGCUAGUUGGUGGGGUAAGGGCCCACCAAGGCGACGAUCCGUAGCUGGUCUGAGAGGAUGAUCAGCCACACUGGAACUGAGACACGGUCCAGACUCCUACGGGAGGCAGCAGUGGGGAAUCUUCGACAAUGGGCGCAAGCCUGAUGCAGCCACACCGCGUGGGUGAAGAAGGCCUUCGGGUUGUAAAACCCUUUUGUUAGGAAAGAAAAGCAGCAGGUUAAUCCCUCCACGUUCUGACGGUACCCAAAGAAUAAGCCACGGCUAACUUCGUG